rnacentral:tRNA from 1 species
AUUAUAUUGGCAGAAACAAUGCAUUAGAAUUAGAAUCUAAUUAACUAUAUAUUA